rnacentral:lncRNA from 1 species
GUAAGCAAGACACUUGUUGCUAGGAGGGCCCUAAAAAUAUGACAGUAAUGUCAGCCAUGCCGGUGAAAAAAUUCAGUAUUCUAUCCGAAUGGGUAACCGCAUCUAUGUUUUAACCUCUUUGCCAAGAAGGGACGAUUAUGAGGAUUAACUAAAAAUUAAAAAGUCAUACGAGGAGUUCGCUAAGAGACCGGUGAAAUAGGACCACAAUCAGGAUAUAGACCAAAGUUGCUUCUUUAUUUAAGAACAACUCGAGCACCUGGCUAGAUAUCUGGU